UUGCAAAGCCAUCUGAAAAGAGGGUGAAAAGAACCUGAAACCGUUAUGUUGAGAGCGUAUUGCAGCAGAGUGAAGGGUGCGUUUUGUUCAGCUUGCGCUUGCGUAGGUGUACUCGGAACGUUAUCCGCCAGUCGUGAGCUUCCGGUGGCUGAUCCAUAGUCGCUGGGGGUGGAGGGCUCCCCUUUAUGGGUGAGGACGAAUCUGGAUAAUGCUGUGAUUCGACCCGUCUUGAAACACGGACCAAGAAGUCUAGCGUACAUGCGAGUCAAAGGGUGUAAAAACCUGAGGGCGCAGUGAAAGCAAUCUUAAAACGUUGCAGUUUGAGGCGGCAUACGAUCGUUGAUUGUAGGUCUGACCUGGAGCAUAUAUGCUAGGACCCGAAAGAUGGUGAACUAUGCUUGAGUAGGGUGAAGCCAGGAGAAAUCCUGGUGGAAGCUCGUAGCGGUGCUGACGUGCAAAUCGCUCGUCUAACUUGAGUAUAGGGGCGAAAGACUAAUCGAACCAUCUGGUAGCUGGUUUCCUCCGAAGUUUCUCUCAGGAUAGCGGACCGAUAUAGUGUUGUUGUGUGC
rnacentral:rRNA from 1 species